rnacentral:rRNA from 1 species
UAGAGGAAGUAAAAGUCGUAACAAGGUCUCCGUUGGUGAACCAGCGGAGGGAUCAUUACCGAGUUUACAACUCCCAAACCCAAUGUGAACCAUACCAAACUGUUGCCUCGGCGGGGUCACGCCCCGGGUGCGUCGCAGCCCCGGAACCAGGCGCCCGCCGGAGGGACCAACCAAACUCUUUCUGUAGUCCCCUCGCGGACGUUAUUUCUUACAGCUCUGAGCAAAAAUUCAAAAUGAAUCAAAACUUUCAACAACGGAUCUCUUGGUUCUGGCAUCGAUGAAGAACGCAGCGAAAUGCGAUAAGUAAUGUGAAUUGCAGAAUUCAGUGAAUCAUCGAAUCUUUGAACGCACAUUGCGCCCGCCAGUAUUCUGGCGGGCAUGCCUGUCCGAGCGUCAUUUCAACCCUCGAACCCCUCCGGGGGUCCGGCGUUGGGGAUCGGGAACCCCUAAGACGGGAUCCCGGCCCCGAAAUACAGUGGCGGUCUCGCCGCAGCCUCUCAUGCGCAGUAGUUUGCACAACUCGCACCGGGAGCGCGGCGCGUCCACGUCCGUAAAACACCCAACUUCUGAAAUGUUGACCUCGGAUCAGGUAGGAAUACCCGCUGAACUUAAGCAUAUCAAUA